AUACGUAGGGGGCGAGCGUUGUCCGGAAUGAUUGGGCGUAAAGGGCGCGUAGGCGGCCCAGUAAGUCUGGAGUGAAAGUCCUGUUUUUAAGAUGGGAAUUGCUUUGGAUACUGUCGGGCUUGAGUGCAGGAGAGGUAAGUGGAAUUCCCAGUGUAGCGGUGAAAUGCGUAGAGAUUGGGAGGAACACCAGUGGCGAAGGCGACUUACUGGACUGCAACUGACGCUGAGGCGCGAAAGUGUGGGGAGCAAACAGGAUUAGAUACCCUGGUAGUCCACACUGUAAACGAUGAAUGCUAGGUGUAAGAGGUAUCGACCCCUUUUGUGCCGGAGUUAACACAAUAAGCAUUCCGCCUGGGGAGUACGGCCGCAAGGUUGAAACUCAAAGGAAUUGACGGGG
rnacentral:rRNA from 1 species